AGUGAACGCUGGCGGUAGGCCUAACACAUGCAAGUCGAACGGCAGCACAGUAAGAGCUUGCUCUUACGGGUGGCGAGUGGCGGACGGGUGAGGAAUACAUCGGAAUCUACUUUUUCGUGGGGGAUAACGUAGGGAAACUUACGCUAAUACCGCAUACGACCUACGGGUGAAAGCAGGGGAUCUUCGGACCUUGCGCGAUUGAAUGAGCCGAUGCCGGAUUAGCUAGUUGGCGGGGUAAAGGCCCACCAAGGCGACGAUCCGUAGCUGGUCUGAGAGGAUGAUCAGCCACACUGGAACUGAGACACGGUCCAGACUCCUACGGGAGGCAGCAGUGGGGAAUAUUGGACAAUGGGCGCAAGCCUGAUCCAGCCAUACCGCGUGAGUGAAGAAGGCCUUCGGGUUGUAAAGCCCUUUUGUUGGGAAAGAACAACAGCAGGUUAAUCCCCCGCUGUUCUGACGGUACCCAAAGAAUAAGCCCCGGCUAACUUCGUG
rnacentral:rRNA from 1 species